rnacentral:lncRNA from 1 species
UGUAGAAUAAGGGCAGUAGUAGUUUUUACUUCAAGUAGUUUUGGUGAGGAACAAUUUGAUAAUUCAUAUAAAUCACCGAAUACUGGACCCAACACAGGGAGAGAUGUCAUUUAUAUCCAUAAACACCAUGCACUAAGCACCCCCAGGCAUGGGGUUAAGAAACGAUAAGUGUCAGGAGUAGGUCCCACAUUCAAAGGACAUGAUGAUGAGAUCUCUGGCACUGCUCAUUAGAAAAAUAUUCCUGAAUUAGGAGUUCCCGUCGUGGCGCAGUGGUUAACGAAUCCGACUAGGAACCAUGAGGUUGCAGGUUCGGUCCCUGCCCUUGCUCAGUGGGUUAACUAUCCGGCGUUGCCGUGAGCUGUGGUGUAGGUUGCAGACGUGGCUCAGAUCCCGCGUUGCUGUGGCUCUGGUGUAGGCCGGUGGCUACAGCUCCGAUUCAACCCCUAGCCUGGGAACCUCCAUAUGCCGCAGGAGCGGCCCAAGAAAUAGCAACAACAACAACAACAACAAAAGACAAAAGACAAAAAAAAAAAAAAAAGAAAGAAAAAAAAAAGAAAAAUAUUCCUGAAUUAAAUUGGCAGCUGACUAAAAUUUUAACAAAAGUGCCCCCAAAGCUCCAAGCAUGGCAAAAAGUUGCCUAUUAUUGCUCAGGCCCCAAGGGAAACCCAGAAAAGGGUUAGUGACGAUAAUAAUAAUAAAUCAUUUCCCUGAAUGCUAACCAUGGACAAAGCAGGAAGCUAAGUGGUUUACAUCUAAUAUCUUAAAUACUUACUACCACUAGAUGAGUUAGGUUUCAUUCUUAUUUCUGUCUUACAGAUGAGGAUACUGAUGCAUAAUGUUGAACUAUGCCUUCAAGAAGAUUGGUCAUCAAGAGUGUGGUGUUCCAGUGCCUUGAGGGUGAUUGGUCAAGUGCAUUUAAAAGAAGUGGUUAUUUCUCACUUUUUGCUGUCUCCUCUGUCCAUCAGCUUGCCUUGGUUACUGCUUAUAGGUCCUAGCUGGAGAAUAAUGUGCUUCACAGUGUGA